CCUACGGGAGGCUGCAGUGAGGAAUAUUGGUCAAUGGACGAGAGUCUGAACCAGCCAAGUAGCGUGAAGGAUGACUGCCCUAUGGGUUGUAAACUUCUUUUAUAAAGGAAUAAAACGAGGCACGUGUGCCUUUUUGCAUGUACUUUAUGAAUAAGGAUCGGCUAACUCCGUGCCAGCAGCCGCGGUAAUACGGAGGAUCCGAGCGUUAUCCGGAUUUAUUGGGUUUAAAGGGAGCGUAGAUGGGUUGUUAAGUCAGUUGUGAAAGUUUGCGGCUCAACCGUAAAAUUGCAAUUGAUACUGGUAGUCUUGAGUACAGUUGAGGUAGGCGGAAUUCGUGGUGUAGCGGUGAAAUGCUUAGAUAUCACGAAGAACCCCGAUUGCGAAGGCAGCUUACUAAACUGUGACUGACAUUGAUGCUCGAAAGUGUGGGUAUCAAACAGGAUUAGAUACCCCUGUAGUC
rnacentral:rRNA from 1 species